UUCUUUUCUUUUUUUCCUUUUUAAUUUCUUUUAAAAUUUUCCAUUUUAAGUUGGUUAUUUCUGAUUUAUAUUUAAAAGCAAAUAAUAAUGAUAUGGUAGGAGAUACACACCAAACAGGAUGUGUAAAUUAUUAUAUAAUAAGUAUUGUGCAAUAGCAAGAAAUUUUCAAUUGCACAGUAUUGCACAAUAGCAAGAAAUCUUCAAUUGCACAGUAUUGCGCAAUAGCAAGAAAUCUUCAAUUGCACAGUAUUGCGCAAUAGCAAGAAAUAUCCAAUAGCACAAUAUUGCGCAAUAGCAAGAAAUUGUCAAUUGUACAGUAUUGCGCAAUAGAAAGAAAUAUUCAAUUGCACAGUAUUGUACAAAAGAAGAUACUUCGUAUAAAUUGGUUAUUUCUUGAUCAAUUUCAAUGGGGUUUUAUUCUUGAAUUCUUGGGGUUCUUUAAUAUGCUGAAUCUAACUGUGUAUUAAGUUUUUGGAUUUUGGGACCCGUUUUUUAAUUGGUCCACAUUGAGGUCCAAAGGGUCCAAAAUUUAGCUUUGUUUGAUUUCAUCAAAAAUUGAAUUAUUGGGGUUCUUUGAUAUGCCGAAUCUAACCGUGUAUUUAGAUUCUUAAUUUUUGGUUCCGUUUUCAAAUUGGUCUACAUUAAGGUCCAAAGGGUCCAAAAUUAAACUUAGUUUGAUUUUAACAAAAAUUGAAUUUUUAGGGUUCUUUGAUAUGCUGAAUCUAAACAUGUAUUUAGAUUUUUGAUUAUGGGCCCAGUUUUCAAGUUGGUCCAAAUCAGAGUCCAAAAUUAAACUUUGUUUGAUUUCAACAAAAAUUGAAUAUAUGGGGUUCUUUGAUAUGCUGAAUUUAACCAUGUAUUUAGAUUUUUGAUUUUUGGGCCCCGUUAUCAACUUUGUCCACAUUGAGGUCAAAAGGGUCCAAAAUUAAACUUUGUUUGAUUUCAUCAAAAAUUGAAUUAUUGGGGUUCUUUGAUAUGCCAAAUCUAACCGUGUAUUUAGAUUUUUAAUUUUGGGUCUCGUUUUUAAAUUGGUCUACAUUAAGGUCCAAAGGGUCCAAAAUUAAACUUAGUUUGAUUUUAACAAAAAUUGAAUUCUUGGGGUUCUUUGAUAUGCUGAAUCUAAACAUGUGUUUAGAAUUUUGAUUAUGGGCCCAGUUUUCAAGUUGGUCCAAGUUGGGGUCCAAAAUUAAACUUUGUUUGAUUUCAACAAAAAUUGAAUAUAUGGGGUUCUUUGAUAUGCUGAAUCUAAACAUGUAUUUAGAUUUUAGAUUUUUGGCCCAGUUUUCAAGUUGGUUCAAAUUGGGGUCCAAAAUUAAACUUUGUUUGAUUUCAACAAAAAUUGAAUAUAUGGGGUUCUUUGAUAUGCUGAAUCUUACCAUGUAUUUAGAUUUUUUAUUUGUGGGCCCGCUAUCAAAUUGGUUCAUAUUGAGGUCAAAAGGGUCCAAAAUUAAACUUUGUUUGAUUUCAUCAAAAAUUGAAUUAUUGGGGUUCUUUGAUAUGCCAAAUCUAACCGUGUAUUUAGAUUUGUAAUUUUGGGUCCCGUUUUUUAAAUUGGUCUACAUUAAGGUCCAAAGGGUCCAAAAUUAAACUUAGUUUGAUUUUAACAAAAAUUGAAUUUUUGGGGUUCUUUGAUAUGCUGAAUCUAAACAUGUGUUUAGAUUUUUGAUUAUGGGACCAGUUUUCAAGUUGGUCCAAGUUGGGGUCCAUAAUUAAACUUUGUUUGAUUUCAACAAAAAUUGAAUAUAUGGGGUUCUUUGAUAUGCUGAAUCUAAACAUGUAUUUAGAUUUUUGAUUUUUGGCCCAGUUUUCAAGUUGGUCCAAAUUGGGGUCCAAAAUUAAACUUUGUUUGAUUUCAACAAAAAUUGAAUAUAUGGGGUUCUUUGAUAUGCUGAAUCUUACCAUGUAUUUAGAUUUUUUAUUUUGUAGGCCCGCUAUCAAAUUGGUUCAUAUUGUGGUCAAAAGGGUCCAAAAUUAAACUUUGUUUGAUUUCAUCAAAAAUUGAAUUAUUGGGGUUCUUUGAUAUGCCAAAUCUAAACGUGUUUUUAGAUUUUUAAUUUUGGGUCCCGUUUUUUAAAUUGGUCUACAUUAAGGUCCAAAGGGUCCAAAAUUAAACUUUGUUUGAUUUUAACAAAAAUUGAAUUCUUGGGGUACUUUGAUAUGCUGAAUCUAAACAUGUGUUUAGAUUUUUGAUUAUGGGACCAGUUUUCAAGUUUGUCCAAGUUGGGGUCCAAAAUUAAACUUUGUUUGAUUUCAACAAAAAUUGAAUAUAUGGGGUUCUUUGAUAUGCUGAAUCUAACCAUGUAUUUUGAUUUUGGACAUUGGACCAUAAUAGGUAAAUUAAAAAAAUUGAAGUUCUUAGACCACAUUCUUUCUGUGUCAGAAACCUAUGCUGUGUCAAAUAUUUAAUCACAAUCCAAAUUCAGAGCUGUAUCAAGCUUGAAUGUUGUGUCCAUACUUGCCCCAACUGUUCAGGGUUCGACCUCUGCGGUCGUAUCAAGCUGCGCCCAGCGAAGCAUUUUAUUUUAU